rnacentral:lncRNA from 1 species
AAACAAUUACAUAAACUAGUUCAUGGUGAAAUGGCCGUCACACUUACCUCUAAACUUAUAAAUGAAGCACAAUUUAAAAACCCACAUGUCAUUCCAAAUUCAAGAAAAAAGAGGAAGGGAAGAAAAAUGACAUUGGAUUGUGACGUUGAAAGAAACCAGAAGAUAAAUAUGAAAGAAAGCACGGACACAAAAUGACCAAAAGAAAAACGCC